rnacentral:rRNA from 1 species
GACGAACGCUGGCGGCGUGCUUAACACAUGCAAGUCGAACGGUGAAGCGCCUUCCUUUUUGGUGGGUGUGGAUGAGUGGCGAACGGGUGAGUAACACGUGAGUAACCUGCCCCCUUCUUCUGGAUAACCGCAUGAAAGUGUGGCUAAUACGGGAUAUUCUGGGUCUGUCGCAUGAUGGGUCUGGGAAAGAUAUUGUUUCGGUGGGGGAUGGGCUCGCGGCCUAUCAGCUUGUUGGUGGGGUGAUGGCCUACCAAGGCUGUGACGGGUAGCCGGCCUGAGAGGGUGGACGGUCACACUGGGACUGAGACACGGCCCAGACUGCGACGGGAGGCAGCAGUGGGGAAUAUUGCACAAUGGGCGCAAGUCUGAUGCAGCGACGCCGCGUGAGGGAUGGAGGCCUUCGGGUUGUGAACCUCUUUCGCCAGUGAAGCAGGCCUGCCUCGUUUGUGGGUGGGUUGACGGUAGCUGGAGAAGAAGCGCCGGCUAACUACGUG